rnacentral:rRNA from 1 species
UACGUAGGGACCAAGCGUUGUUCGGAUUUACUGGGCGUAAAGGGCGCGUAGGCGGCAAUUCAAGUCAGCUGUGAAAUCUCCGGGCUUAACUCGGAACGGUCAGCUGAUACUGCUUUGCUAGAGUGCAGAAGGGGCAAUCGGAAUUCUCGGUGUAGUGGUGAAAUGCGUAGAUAUCGAGAGGAACACCUGAGGUGAAGACGGGUUGCUGGGCUGACACUGACGCUGAUGCGCGAAAGCCAGGGUAGCAAACGGG